rnacentral:rRNA from 1 species
UACGUAGGAUGCAAGCGUUUGUCCGGAAUUAUUGGGCGUAAAGAGCGCGCAGGCGGUAUGACAAGUCAGAUGUGAAAGAGGCCGGCUUAACCGGCAAGGGUCAUUUGAAACUGUCAGACUAGAGUGCAGCAGAGGAUAGUGGAAUUCCCGGUGUAGUGGUGAAAUGGCGUAGAUAUCGGGAGGAACACCAGGUGGCGAAGGCGACUAUCUGGGCUGCAACUGACGCUGAGGCGCGAAGGCUAGGGUAGCAAACAGG